AUUGAACGCUGGCGGAAUGCUUUACACAUGCAAGUCGAACGGCAGCACGGACUUCGGUCUGGUGGCGAGUGGCGAACGGGUGAGUAAUGUAUCGGAACGUGCCCAGUCGUGGGGGAUAACGUAGUGAAAAUUACGCUAAUACCGCAUACGAUCUAUGGAUGAAAGCGGGGGAUCGCAAGACCUCGCGCGAUUGGAGCGGCCGAUAUCAGAUUAGGUAGGUGGUGGGGUAAAGGCCCACCAAGGCAACGAUCUGUAGCUGGUCUGAGAGGACGACCAGCCACACUGGAACUGAGACAGGGUCCAGAUUCCUACGGGAGGCAGCGGUGGGGAAUUUUGGACAAUGGGCGAAAGCCUGAUCCAGCCAUUCCGCGUGCAGGAUGAAGGCCCUCGGGUUGUAAACUGCUUUUGUACAGAACGAAAAGGUUUCUACUAAUACUAGGAGCUCAUGACGGUACUGUAAGAAUAAGCACCGGCUAACUACGUGCCAGCCGCCGCCGUAA
rnacentral:rRNA from 1 species